GAUGAACGCUGGCGGCGUGCCUAAUACAUGCAAGUCGAGCGAACGGACGAGAAGCUUGCUUCUCUGAUGUUAGCGGCGGACGGGUGAGUAACACGUGGAUAACCUACCUAUAAGACUGGGAUAACUUCGGGAAACCGGAGCUAAUACCGGAUAAUAUUUUGAACCGCAUGGUUCAAAAGUGAAAGACGGUCUUGCUGUCACUUAUAGAUGGAUCCGCGCUGCAUUAGCUAGUUGGUAAGGUAACGGCUUACCAAGGCAACGAUGCAUAGCCGACCUGAGAGGGUGAUCGGCCACACUGGAACUGAGACACGGUCCAGACUCCUACGGGAGGCAGCAGUAGGGAAUCUUCCGCAAUGGGCGAAAGCCUGACGGAGCAACGCCGCGUGAGUGAUGAAGGUCUUCGGAACGUAAAACUCUGUUAUUAGGGAAGAACAUAUGUGUAAGUAACUGUGCACAUCUUGACGGUACCUAAUCAGAAAGCCACGGCUAACUACGUG
rnacentral:rRNA from 1 species